rnacentral:tRNA from 1 species
GCGGGCGUGGUUCAAUGGUAGAACGUGACCUUGCCAAGGUUAAGACGAGGGUUCGAUUCCCUUCGCCCGCUCCA